AAAGACUUUUUCGAAAGGUAUACUUAAAGAGGGGCUUGCGGCACAUUAGUUAGUUGGUAGGGUAAAAGCCUACCAAGACCAUGAUGUGUAGCUGGACUGAGAGGUUGAACAGCCACAUUGGGACUGAGACACGGCCCAAACUCCUACGGGAGGCAGCAGUAGGGAAUUUUCGGCAAUGGAGGAAACUCUGACCGAGCAACGCCGCGUGAACGAUGAAGUAUUUCGGUAUGUAAAGUUCUUUUAUUGGAGAAGAAAAAAUAGUGGAAAAACUAUCUUGACGAUAUUCAAUGAAUAAGCCCCGGCAAACUAUGUGCCAGCAGCCGCGGUAAUACAUAGGGGGCGAGCGUUAUCCGGAAUUAUUGGGCGUAAAGGGUGCGUAGGCGGUUUGGUAAGUCUAAUAGUUUAAUUUCAAGGGCUUAACACUGUUCUGCUAUAGAAACUAUCAGACUUAGAGUGAGAUAGAGGCAAGUGGAAUUCCAUGUUGUAGCGGUAAAAUGCGAAAAUAUAUGGAGGACCACCAGAAGCGUAGGCGGCUUGCUGGGUCUUAACUGACGCUGAGGCACGAAAGCGUGGGGAGCAAACAGGAUUAGAUACCCUGGUAGUCCACGCCGUAAAACGAUGAGUACUAAGUGUCGGGGAAACUCGGUACUGAAGUUAACACAUUAAAUACUCCGCCUGAGUAGUACGUACGCAAGUAUGAAACUUAAAGGAAUUGACGGGACCCCGCACAAGCGGGGGAUCAUGUUGUUUAAUUCGAAAAUACACCAAAAACCUUACCAGGUCUUGACAUACUCUGCAAAGCUAUAGCAAUAUAGCGGAGGUUAUCAGGGAUACAGGUGGUGCAUGGUUGUCGUCAGCUCGUGUCGUGAGAUGUUAGGUUAAGUCCUAAAACGAGCGCAACCCUUGUCACUAGUUGCCAGCAUGUUAUGAUGGGCACUUUAGUGAGACUGCCAAUGAAAAAUUGGAGGAAGGUGAGGAUCACGUCAAAUCAUCAUGCCCCUUAUGAUCUGGGCUACAAACGUGAUACAAUGGCUGUUACAAAGAGUAGCUAAAACGCGAGUUUAUAGCCAAUCUCAUAAAAGCAGUCUCAGUUCGGAUUGAAGUCUGCAACUCGACUUCAUGAAGUUGGAAUCGCUAGUAAUCGCGAAUCAGCAUGUCCGCGGGAAUU
rnacentral:rRNA from 1 species